CAAUAGCGUAUAUUUAAGUUGUUGCAGUUAAAAAGCUCGUAGUCGGAUUUUGGCUGAGAACGAUCGGUCCGCCGUUAGGUGUGCACUGAUUGGUCUCAGCUUCCUGGUGAGGAGGUGUGCUUCACGGCCACUUAGUCACCGUGGUUACUUUGAAAAAAUUAGAGUGUUCAAAGCGGGCUUACGCUUGAAUAUAUUAGCAUGGAAUGACACCAUAGGACUCCUGUCCUAUUUCGUUGGUCUCGGGACGGGAGUAAUGAUUAAGAGGAACAGUUGGGGGCAUUCGUAUUUCAUUGUCAGAGGUGAAAUUCUUGGAUUUAUGAAAGACGAACUUCUGCGAAGGCAUUUGCCAAGGAUGUUUUCAUUGA
rnacentral:rRNA from 1 species